rnacentral:rRNA from 1 species
UAUUGCACAAUGGGGGGAACCCUGAUGCAGCGACGCCGCGUGGGCGAGGGAGUGCUUCGGCANGUAAAGCCCUAUCAGCGGGGAANNCCNNNANGGUACCUGACUAAGAAGCCCCGGCUAAAUACGUGCCAGCAGCCGCGGUAAUACGUAUGGGGCAAGCGUUAUCCGGAUUUACUGGGUGUAAAGGGAGCGUAGGCGGCCUGGCAAGCCUGAUGUGAAAUACCGGGGCCCAACCCCGGGGCUGCAUUGGGAACUGCCAGGCUGGAGUGCCGGAGAGGCAGGCGGAAUUCCUAGUGUAGCGGUGAAAUGCGUAGAUAUUAGGAGGAACACCAGUGGCGAAGGAGGCCUGCUGGACGGUGACUGACGCUGAGGCUCGAAAGCGUGGGGAGCA